GGUUGGAUCAUUAACAAAUCUAGAAGACCUUCAAGGUCUCUCUAAACAUCUUGUGAACUGUAUGUCUCUAGCACGGCUAGGCUUUAUUGUUUGGUUGUGCUGGGAAUAAACUUUAUAUUGUAUUACCUUUAGUCUAUAAUUUAUUAAAAAAGUAAUUAAAACAACUUUUGACAACGGAUCUCUAGGCUCUUACAACGAUGAAGAACGCAGCGAAUUGCGAUAAGUAAUGUGAAUUGCAGAAUUCCGUGAAUCAUCAAAUCUUUGAACGCACAUUGCACCUUGAGGUAUUCCUCAAGGUAUGCCUGUUCGAGAAUCAGUAAAAUCAUCAAAGCUAGUAUUGCGAAAUACUAGUUUUGGAGUUGGGAUUUGUUGGACGUAUGUCAGACAUUCCUUAAUAACAAUUGUUGCCUUGCACUCUACUUGUUGGUGUAAUAUGCAUGACCAUUGAGCUUCAGCUCUUCUGAUUGCACUUGAGCAUUAACACGGCAGUUUGUUAGCGAACAAAUAAAAUUACACGAAGCCUUUCGGGCUUUAAGACUUGAUCUCGAAUCAGACAAGACUACCCGCUGAACUUAAGCAUAUCAAUAAGCGGAGGAAAAGAAACUAACAAGGAUUCCCCUAGUAACGGCGAGUGAAGCGGGAAUAGCUCAAAUUUGAAAUCUCAUUGGUCUCCAAUGCGAAUUGUAGUUUAAAGAAGUAUUUACGGAGAUAACCCAGGCAUAAGUCCUUUGGAACAAGGCAUCAUAGAAGGUGAGAAUCCUGUAUAUGGUCUGGUGUUAGCUCUAUGUGUUAUACUUUCAAAGAGUCGGGUUGUUUGGGAAUGCAGCCCAAAAUGGGUGGUAAAUACCAUCUAAAGCUAAAUAUUGGUAAGAGACCGAUAGCGAACAAGUACCGUGAGGGAAAGAUGAAAAGAACUUUGAAAAGAGAGUUAAAUAGUACGUGAAAUUGUCAAAAGGGAAACACUUGAAACCAGUCUUGCGUGUAGAAUCCCAACUAGUUUAACGAUUAGCAUACGUUUCUACAUGCAGGUCAACAUCGGUUUUGGCUGGAGUACAAAGCUUGAAGAAGGUAGCCUUCGGGUAUUAUAGCUUCAAGUCAUGCUCUGGCUAAGACCGAGGAACGCAGUGCAGCCUUGGGUACCCUAUCGCUAGUUGAAUAACUUUUUGGACUACUUGUAGAUCAAGAAGGAGCUAAGACUAAUCGGUGGGCUUGCCACACCUGUGCUUAGGAUGUUGACAUAAUGGUUUUAAAUGACCCGUCUUGAAACACGGACCAAGGAGUCUAACACAUAUGCGAGUUUUUGGGUGGUAAACCCGGAAAGCGUAAUGAAAGUAUUAAGGUGGGAUCCCUCUGGGUGCACCAUCGACCGGUCAGGAUAUUUUUUGAUAGAUCUGAGUAAGAGCAUAUUUGUUAGGACCCGAAAGAUGGUGAACUAUGCCUGAAUAGGGUGAAGCCAGAGGAAACUCUGGUGGAGGCUCGUAGCGAUUCUGACGUGCAAAUCGAUCGUCAAAUUUGGGUAUAGGGGCGAAAGACUAAUCGAACCAUCUAGUAGCUGGUUCCCUC
rnacentral:misc_RNA from 1 species